rnacentral:rRNA from 1 species
CAGUCGCCGCGGGAAUACGAAGGGGGCUAGCGUUGCUCGGAAUUACUGGGCGUAAAGGGCGCGUAGGCGGACAGUUCAGUCGGGGGUGAAAGCCCGGGGCUCAACCUCGGAAUUGCCUUCGAUACUGGCUGUCUUGAGUAUGAGAGAGGUGUGUGGAACUCCGAGUGUAGAGGUGAAAUUCGUAGAUAUCCGGAAAAACACCAGUGGCGAAGGCGACACACUGGCUCAUUACUGACGCUGAGGCGCGAAAGCGUGGGGAGCAAACAGGACUAGAUACCCCCGUAGUCCCUGUCUCUUAUAC